UUUCCGUAGGUGAACCUGCGGAAGGAUCAUUACCACACCCUUUCAACUAAAACUCGAGGUUUUCACGAACCUCGUGUUUUACGACCCGCGUACCGUUUUUGGGGGUGUAAACAACCCCCUAUUUUUACACGCUGCAAUUGGUUCUUAAAACAAAUCAACUGCAGGUCAGUGUUUCUAUUCAAGACCAUUUUACCUAUUCCUUUUGGAAUAAAAAAACAAUUUGAUUUAGAACUUAUGAUAAAUCUUUAUUCAAAAGAAUAACGAAAACCAACACUUUCAGCAACGGAUGUCUUGGCUCCC
rnacentral:misc_RNA from 1 species